rnacentral:lncRNA from 1 species
UGUUUUCUGACUUGGGGGAUAGAAUUUGGGAAUGAGUGACUUGAAACCCUGUUUGUUCUUUUUUGUUUAAGGUUUGUAUGAAUACUGCUAAAAAAAAAAAUGAAUUAUUCCUCCCUGUUAGGCUAGUAGUAGUUGUUAUAUGUGAUAGAUUGUAGGUAUAUUAGUAUAUGUAGGUUUAGUUUUAUCUUCAUCUUAUCAUUGUUAUUAUGGCUCAUGAUCUGUUAAAUUCAGCUUCUGUACUUCGAACUGAAAAAAAAAAAUAUUUGGGGGAAGAAAAACAAAAGGUUGCUUGUUUAUAGGUUGCUUGUUUACAUUUUUUGCUACUUAAUAUUUUUACGCAAUAAUGCCUUGUUUGUUUGAGUCCUUUUUUUUACGUUUAAGCAUUUUUGAUUACUUUGCCCUGGUAGGCUGCCCAAAUUUUUAUGCUGUAUUGAAUCACUGAAUGCGACUCUGUACUUCCCUCUUACGAUUUUUUUUUUUUUUUCCAAUUUUAAUCAUAGUUUGAGUUCUGGGUUUUUUUUUUUUUUUUUUUUAAGGGUUAUAAAUAUUUUCUAGUUUUAUUAUAUUUUUUUUUGUAGUAUUUAUAAUUUAUUACUUUUUGGAAUGAUAUUUG